rnacentral:rRNA from 1 species
UACAGAGGGGGCAAGCGUUAUUCGGAAUUAUUGGGCGUAAAGGGCGCGUAGGCGGCUUUGGCAAGUGGAUGGUGGAAAUCCCUCCGGCUUAACCGAGGGAACUGCCGUCCAAACUGCUUCGGCUUGAGAACCUGGGGAGAGGUGGAGUGGAAUUCCCAGUGUAGCGGUGGAAAAUGCGUAGAUAUUGGGAGGAACACCAGUGGCGGAAGGCGGCUCACUGG